GAAAAUGUAUGGAAAAUCAUCCACAUCAAAUCAUACACCUCUGCUCUGACUAAAGUAAAGUGGUAUAAACAUAGCAUUUUAGUAGUGUAGUCUGGAAACUCCACUUUCGUCUGGUGUUCUUUCCUGUCGAAGAAAAAAAAACUUGGUGAAAGUGAAAUGACUGUAGCUUUGUCCUCCCUCAGCUCCCAUAUUAGGACUGUUGGGGAUCUGUCCGAGAGAGAGAAGAGAAAGAGAAAGAGAGAGAGAGAGAAAGAGAAUGUGUUGCAUUCCUUCUCAACAGUUGGCAUCAUGUAGGGUAGAGGUUGUGAAAGGGGGUUUCCACUGUCUCCACCCAAUCUCUUCUCCCACAGUUAUUUUCUGGGACACUGCGCAAUACAACUUUAUUUGAUGGCAGAACAUUCAGAGGCUGUAAGCUUGACACAUGGCAAAAUGCUUCUGCUGUUUCUGAGUCUCGGUUUGUUCACUUCUAAUGUCCAGUCAGAAAAACAAGGGGUUAAUGUAACAUGUGAAAAUCAAUCGGUUGUAGCAGGACAGAACCACAACCUGACAUGUAGAGUGGAUUACAGUGAUGCAUAUCAGAAUAAGAAGGGUGAUGUAGGUAACAGUGAGACGGGAUGUAAAACUGAAAAGUAUUUCUGGAAGGAUAAAUCAAAAACUCCAAUACGAAGUUGUGAUUGUACAAAAGAUUGUAACACUACGAUAACAACCAACACCUACUUUUGUGAGAUCAAAAAUGUUACCGAAGCUGAUGAGGGAAACUACACUUUUACCAUUAACACAAACUGUGGCAAUGGACUUGGCACAUUGAAUGUUUCCGGUACAUCGAGAAAUAAGAAACCAGAGCUGUUCAAAGGGGGAUCGUCAGGUCACAUUUCACCAUUAUCAUCACUGUUCUGGGUGUUCUACUGUUUCUCAUCACUUCUGGUUCUGGCAGAAGAUUGAUGGGUCGACUUAAGUUCCUUGAGAAAAAUGACAACACUGACCAGAGCCCUGAAGCUACCAGAAAGGCUCUAAACCUGGAGCCUGGAUAACAUUCAGUUCAUGGAGGAGCCGUGUGUGUGUGUGUGUGUGUGUGUUAAUUAUUCUAUCCUUGUGGAGACAUCCCACGUCCUCAUGAAGACACAGGCUAUUUUAAGCUUAGUUUUAGGGUUACAAUUAGGGUUAGGAGUUAGGUUUGGGUUAGUGUUAGGGGUUAAACUUAGGGUUAUGGUAAGGGUUAGGAGUUAGGUUUGGGUUAGUGUUAGGGGUUAAUGUUAUGUUAAGGGUUAGGUUUGGGUUAAUGUUAGGGGUUAAAGUUAGGGUUAUGGUAAGGGUUAGGAGGGAGGUUUGGGUUAGUGUUAGGGGUUAAAGUUAGGGUUAUGGUAAGGGUUAGGAGUUAGGUUUGGGUUAGUGUUAGGGGUUAAAGUUAGGGUUAGGAGUUAGGUUUGGGUUAGUGUUAGGGUUUAAAGUUAUGGUAAGGGUUAGGGUUAGGAGUUAGGGUUGGGUUAGUGUUAGGGGUUAAAGUUAGGGUUCUGGUAAGGGUUAGGAGUUAGGGUUGGGUUAGUGUUAGGGGUUAAAGUUAGGGUUAGGAGUUAGGGUUGGGUUAGUGUUAGGGGUUAAAGUUAGGGUUAUGAUAAGGGUUAGGAGUUAGGUUUUGGUUAGUGUUAGGGGUUAAAGUUAUGGUAAGGGUUAGGAGUUAGGGUUGGGUUAGUGUUAUGAGUUAAAGUUAGGGUUAUGGUAAGGGUUAGGUUUGGGUUAGUGUUAUUGGUUAAAGUUAGGGUUAUGGUAAGGGUUAGGAGUUAGGUUUGGGUUAGUGUUAGGGGUUAAAGUUAGGGUUAUGGUAAGGGUUGGGUUAGUGUUAGUGGUUAAAGUUAGGGUUAUGGUAAGGGUUAGGAGGGAGGUUUGGGUUAGUGUUAGGGUUAUGGUAAGGGUUAGGAGUUAGGUUUGGGUUAGUGUUAGGGGUUAAAGUUAGGGUUAGGAGUUAGGUUUGGGUUAGUGUUAGGGGUUAAAGUUAGGGUUAUGGUAAGGGUUAGGAGUUAGGGUUGGGUUAGUGUUAGGGGUUAAAGUUAGGGUUGGUUUAGUGUUAGGGGUUAAAGUUAGGGUUAGGAGUUAGGUUUGGGUUAGUGUUAGGGGUUAAAGUUAGGGUUAUGGUAAGGGUUAGGAGUUAGGGUUGGGUUAGUGUUAUGAGUUAAAGUUAGGGUUAGGAGUUAGGUUUGGGUUAGUGUUAGGGGUUAAAGUUAUCGUUAUGGUAAGGGUUAGGAGUUAGGGUUGGGUUAGUGUUAUGAGUUAAAGUUAGGGUUAGGAGUUAGGUUUGGGUUAGUGUUAGGGGUUAAAGUUAGGGUUAGGAGUUAGGUUUGGGUUAGUGUUAGGGGUUAAAGUUAGGGUUAUGGUAAGGGUUAGGAGUUAGGGUUGGGUUAGUGUUAUGGGUUAAAGUUAGGGUUGGGUUAAAGUCAGGGUUAUGGUAAGGGUUAGGAGUUAGGUUUGGGUUAGUGUUAGGGGCUAAAGUUAUGGUAAGGGUUAGGAGUUAGGUUUGGGUUAGUGUUAUGGGUUUAAAGUUAGGGUUAGGAGUUAGGUUUGGGUUAGUGUUAGGGGUUAAAGUUAGGGUUAUGGUAAGGGUUAGGAGUUAGGUUGGGGUUAGUGUUAUGGGUUAAAGUUAGGGUUAUGGUAAGGGUUAGGAGUUAGGUUUGGGUUAGUGUUAUGGGUUAAAGUUAUGGUAAGGGUUAGGAGUUAGGUUGGGGUUAGUGUUAUGGGUUAAAGUUAGGGUUAUGGUAAGGGUUAGGGAAAAUAUGACUUUGAAUGUAAAUAAAUGUUAGUUCCCCACAAGGAUAAAAUAAUGUGUGUGGCUUGUUAGUAGUGGUUUAAAAAAUAUGUUUUACUCUGUACAGGCGUCCAUCUUUUCUCUCUGUCAAUUAUUAUUAUUUAUAUCGCUUAUUUAACUAGGCAGGUCAGUUUAGAGCUCAUUUUAAUUUACAAUGACAAUCUACUGGGGAACAGUGGGUUAACUGCCUUGUUCAGGUGCAGAACGACAGAUGUUUACUUUGUCAGCUCAGGGAUUCAAUCCAGGAACCUAUUGGUUAAUGGCACAACACUCUAACCACUACGCAACCUGCCGCCCCAUCAAACUAGUCAAGGUUAGUAUUGUGGAGUAACUACAAUGUGUUUGAUCCAUCCUCAGUGUUCUCCUGUCACAGCCAUUAAACUCUGUAACUGUUUUAAAGUCACCAUUGUUCUCAUUGUGAAAUCCAUGAGCGGCUUCCUUCCUGUCUGCCAACUGAGUUAGGAAGGACACCUGUAUCUUUGUAGUGACAGGAUGUAUUGAUACACCACCCAAAGUUAAGUUAGUAGCUCCACCAAGCUCAAAGGGAUAUUCAAUGUCUGCUUUUAGUUUUACCCAUCUACCAAUAGGUUCCCUUUACAAGGCAUUUGGAAAACCUCCUUGAAUCUGUGUUUGAAAUUCCCUGCUCGUCUGAGAGACCUUACAGAUAAUUGUAUGUGUGGGGUACAGAGAUGAGGUAGUCAUUAAAAAUCAUGUUAAAACACUAUUAUUGCACAGAGUGAGUCCAUGCAAUGUAUUAUGUGAUUUGUUAAACAAAUGUUUACUCAUGAACUUAUUUAGACUUGUCAUAACAAAGGGGUUGAACACUUUUUUACUCAAGACAUUUAAGAUGUUUAUUUUUUCAAUUAUUUGUAAAACUUUUGAAAAACCGAAUUCCACUUUGACAUUAUGGGCUAUUGUGUGUGGACCAGUGACCCACACAUCUCAGUUGAAUCUAUUUUCAAUUCAGGCUUUAACACAACAAAAUGUGGACAAAGUCAAUGGGUGUGAAUACUUUCUGAAGGCACUGUGUCAUUUGAUGUUGUAUUAUUCUGUAAAACUCACAAGCAGUGAUUUACCACUAAGCUUGGUUUGUAUAAUAGAUGUCAUAUUCUGCAUUAUUGAUUCAUGUACAAAUACACCUUUGGAAAUAACCAGUCGUUAUAAUGUUACUUCUAUCAUAUAGAGCUUGUUGUCUUGUAUUUAAUUAUUAUCUACACCAAUAAUGUAUAUUUCAGACAUCACAGUACAUACAGUAUCUCGCAGGUUGACAUUUAUUUGAAUGACUCAUGUAUGUGGAGGCAGUUCUGCAGAGUGGUUACUAGCUGGCACAACAACACAGUCAUAAAACCUAACCAUAACUUUAACCCUAAAUAGCAUUAUUCAAAUCAACAUUUUUACAUCUACAGUGUUAAAUGUAACACUUAACGUGUAUAUGUGACCCAUCAAAAUAGUUGUAUUAAAUAAACACUGUUCAAAGUGUUGACAAACUAACACUCCUAGAUCGUUGGUUCCCUAACACCAUGCGUGUUGUAAAUUCAGACUUUAAAACUAUUAGAGAUGAUGCUGCUACACUUUGUAGUUUUAUUCCAUAACACAGUAUUUGGGGGGAGAGUGUUGUUUUAACACUGUAAGACCAUCUGCAUUUUUAACUCAAAUAGACCUGCACCAGGCUAGGAAGACUGAAUCUGCAAUAGGUAAGCAGCUUGGUUUGAAUAAAUCAACUGUGGGAGCAAUUAUUAGAAAAUGGAAGACAUACAAGACCACUGAUAAUCUCCCUCGAGCUGGGGCUCCACGCAAGAUCUCACCCCGUGCGGUCAACAUGAUCACAAGAACGGUGAGCAAAAAUCCCAGAACCACAAGGGGGGACCUAGUGAAUGACCUGCAGAGAGCUGGGCCAAAGUAACAAAGCCUACCAUCUGUAACACAUUACGCCGCCAGGGACUCAAAUCCUGCAGUGCCAGACUUGUCCCCCUGCUUAAGCCAGUACAUGUCCAGGCCAGUCUGAAGUUUGCUAGAGAGCAUUUGGAUGAUCAAGAAGAAGAUUGGGAGAAUGUCAUAUGGUCAUAUUUUGGUAAAAACUCAACUCGUCGUGUUUGGAGGACAAAGAAUGCUGAGUUGCAUCCCAAGAACACCAUACCUACUGUGAAGCAUGGGGGUGAAAACAUCAUGCUUUGGGGCUGUUUUUCUGCAAAGGGACCAGGACGACUGAUCCGUGUUAAGGAAAGAAUGAAUGGGGCCAUGUAUCGUGAGAUUUUGAGUGAAAACCUCCUUCCAUCAGCAAGGGCAUUGAAGAUGAAAUGUGGCUGGGUCUUUCAGCAUGACAAUGAUCCCAAACACACCGCCCGGGCAACGAAGGAGUGGCUUCGUAAGAAGCAUUUCAAGGUCCCGGAGUGGCCUAGCCAGUCUCCAGAUCUCAACCCCAUAAAUCUUUGCAGGGAGUUGAAAGUCCGUGUUGCCCAGCAACAGCCCCAAAACAUCACUACUCUAGAGAAGAUUUGCAUGGAGGAAUGGGCCAAAAUACCAGCAACAGUGUGUGAAAAACUUGUGAAGACUUACAGAAAACGUUUGACCUCUGUCAUUGCCAACAAAGGGUAUAUAAAAAAGUAUUGAGAAACUUUUGUUCUUGACCAAAUAAAAACAUAAAAAAUCCUACAAUGUGAUUCUCUGGAUUUUUUUUCUCAUUUUGUCUGUCAUAGUUGAAGUGUAC